UAUAAUAAAAAAAUAAUUCCAGUAUUCAACACUUGAGUGGAACGGAUGAUGUGAGAGUGUGUUUGCGUGCGUGCCUGCGUGAGUUACAGUGACUGGAUGAGCGGAAGUGGACUGGAUCAGCUUGAUAGAGAUCGGGUCUCAGCACGGCUGAGCUAUCCACUUUGUGUUGUCCUUCAAAGGAAAAACGCCCUGUAAAAGGUGGGUCAAAAAUAUUUAGCUUUUCUUUGUGGUUAGCGUUCUGACCACAGUGCAAUUUCUUUUGACGCAACAUAAGGAAAGGGGGUUAUUGCAUUAACUGUUUCAUGUCAUCACUUCGGUAUCUUUUGCGGGUGCUUUUAAAUUCACGCACACGUGAGGGAUUGUCUCUGGGUGGAGCCGCGGACACAUCGCUGACAGGCUCGUAGACUCAUGCUGAAAGUCUACAGAUCCUCCCCUGGAAGGUAGCAGCAAAGGAAAACCUGGAUUAUUUUAAAUUCAGACACACGAGUAUGGAGAAAAAGUUAAAACAGCUGAAGACUAUUUAAAGUAAAUGAUUGUGUUGCUCAUGCGGAGCCAAGUUUCAGGAUUGGGACACCAAAGACAGAGCGAUAGAGACAGCAGGGGAACUUUUGGUUUGUCGGAGGACGACACUAAUGUGAAAAGCUUGAACGCUGUCUGUCUGAGAGCGACACCUGUAUUUUGUGAAUUGUAAAUAAACUCGCUAAGGCAGCUCCUCGCAGAAGCAGGGUCUUCUCUUGGUGCUGGCUCAUCAAGCGCUGACAGAACUUA